UGACCAGACGUGCAACCAGGUUUCUUUCCAUCUCUCUGAUACAGUCUCUUAUAUGUUCAGAAUAGUGAGUACUAGGUGAUAAGGCGAGUUAGGCUUAUGUUUGUUUUCUUUAUUUGCAAAUGCUGCAUUUGGCGGAAGGAGUUUUCAAAUUUGGUUUUGCUGA